rnacentral:tRNA from 1 species
GGGGAUGUGGCUCAAGAGGUAGAGCACUCUCCUGGAGUGUGUGCAGCCUGGGUUUGAUCCUCAGCACCACA